GUCCACAUAGCUUAACACAAAGCAUGGCACUGAAGUUGCCAAGAUGGCACACAACGUGCCUGUGGACA
rnacentral:tRNA from 1 species